AGGACGCUGCAGCUGAAACGUUCCGGCUCCGGCUCUGCUGGCCGGUCUAAAGCGGCAGCCGCCGGGGCGCAAUGCGAGCGGCUGGCGUAGGCUUGGUGGACUGUCACUGCCACCUCUCCGCCCCGGACUUUGACCGCGAUUUGGAUGAUGUGUUGGAGAAAGCCAAGAAGGCCAAUGUUGUGGCCCUUGUGGCAGUUGCCGAACAUUCAGGAGAAUUUGAAAAGAUUAUGCAACUUUCAGAAAGGAUUUGGAUGUAGCUUUGCCCAUUAUUGAGAAUUAUAAGGAUCGGUUGUUGGCAAUUGGAGAGGUUGGACUAGAUUUCUCCCCCAGAUUUGCUGGCACUGGUGAACAGAAGGAAGAGCAAAGACAAGUCCUAAUCAGACAGAUCCAGUUAGCCAAAAGACUAAAUUUGCCUGUGUAGGUUAAUUAUUUUCCUAUGUUAAUAGCUAUAGAGCAAAUUAAAUAAUGAUCAGAGUUCUCCUGAAAUGGAAC
rnacentral:lncRNA from 1 species